GAUGAACGCUGGCGGCGUGCUUAACACAUGCAAGUCGAACGAACAGACGAGGAGCUUGUUCCUUUGACGUUAGCGGCACACGGGAGUGAAACAUGUGGAACACCUACCUAUCUGUGUGGUAACACUUGGGGAAACCGGCGCAUAUACGGGAGAAUCUACUGCUCCACGUGGGUCGUUGGAAAAUGUCGGCUUUUGUGUAACGUCUCGCUGCUUCUGAGCCGCAUUAGCUAGUUGGUAAGGUAAAAGCCUACCAAGGCAAGGAGGCGUAACCGAGCUACGAGGGUGAUCGGCCACACUGGAACUGAGACACGGUCCAGACUCCUACGGGAGGCAGCAGUAGGGAAUCUUCCGCAAUGGGCGAAAGCCUUACGGAGCAACGCCGCGUGAGUGAUGAAGGUCUUCGGAUCGUAAAACUCUGUUAUUAGGGAAGAACAAAUGUGUAAUUAACUAUGCACGGCUUGACGGUACCUAAUCAGAAAGCCACGGCUAACUACGUG
rnacentral:rRNA from 1 species